AUUGAACGCUGGCGGCAGGCCUAACACAUGCAAGUCGAGCGGAUGAAGGGAGCUUGUUCCUGGAUUCAGCGGCGGACGGGUGAGUAAUGCCUAGGAAUCUGCCUGGUAGUGGGGGACAACGUUUCGAAAGGAACGCUAAUACCGCAUACGUCCUACGGGAAAAAGCAGGGGACCUUCGGGCCUUGCGCUAUCAGAUGAGCCUAGGUCGGAUUAGCUAGUUGGUGAGGUAAUGGCUCACCAAGGCGACGAUCCGUAACUGGUCUGAGAGGAUGAUCAGUCACACUGGAACUGAGACAAGGUCCAGACUCCUACGGGAGGCAGCAGUGGGGAAUAUUGGACAAUGGGCGAAAGCCUGAUCCAGCCAUGCCGCGUGUGUGAAGAAGGUCUUCGGAUUGUAAAGCACUUUAAGUUGGGAGGAAGGGCAGUAAAUUAAUACUUUGCUGUUUUGACGUUACCGACAGAAUAAGCACCGGCUAACUCUGUGCCAGCCGCCGCCGUAAAAC
rnacentral:rRNA from 1 species